ACUGACGACGCGACGCCGCGUGCGGGAUGAAGCUCUUCGGAGUGUAAACCGCUUUUCUGGGGGAAAAAGAUCUGAUUGUACCCCAGGAAUAAGAGGUUGCUAACUCUGUGCCAGCAGCAGCGGUAAUACAGAGACCUCGAGCGUUUUCCGGAAUCAUUGGGCGUAGAGCGUCCGCAAGUGGUUAUGUAAGUCGAACCUGAAAUCUCACGGCUCAACCGUGAAUCCGGGUUCGAGACUGCAUGGCUAGAGGGUUGGAGAGGUAGAUGGAACUCCCGGUGUAGCAGUGAAAUGCGUUAAUAUCGGGAAGAACACCAAAUGCGAAGGCAGUCUACUAGACAACACCUGACACCCAGUGGACGAAAGCGUGGGGAGCAAACGGGAUUAGAUACCCCGGUAGUCCACGCCGUAAACGAUGGGCACUAGGCAUUGGGACUUUCGACAGUCUCAGUGUCGCAAGCUAACGCGUUAAGUGCCUCGCCUGGGAAGUACGGCCGCAAGGCUA
rnacentral:rRNA from 1 species